AUUGAACGCUGGCGGCAGGCCUAACACAUGCAAGUCGAGCGGAUGAUGGGAGCUUGCUCCUGGAUUCAGCGGCGGACGGGUGAGUAAUGCCUAGGAAUCUGCCUGGUAGUGGGGGACAACGUUUCGAAAGGAACGCUAAUACCGCAUACGUCCUACGGGAGAAAGCAGGGGACCUUCGGGCCUUGCGCUAUCAGAUGAGCCUAGGUCGGAUUAGCUAGUUGGUGAGGUAAUGGCUCACCAAGGCGACGAUCCGUAACUGGUCUGAGAGGAUGAUCAGCCACACUGGAACUGAGACACGGUCCAGACUCCUACGGGAGGCAGCAGUGGGGAAUAUUGGACAAUGGGCGAAAGCCUGAUCCAGCCAUGCCGCGUGUGUGAAGAAGGUCUUCGGAUUGUAAAGCACUUUAAGUUGGGAGGAAGGGCAGUAAGUUAAUACCUUGCUGUUUUGACGUUACCGACAGAAUAAGCACCGGCUAACUCUGUGCCAGCAGCCGCCGUAAAAC
rnacentral:rRNA from 1 species